CAGUAGCGUAUAUUAAAGUUGUUGCAGUUAAAAUGCUCGUAGUUGAAGUUCGGAUGCAGCAGAGCUUGGAAACGCUGUUAUGGUGCUUCCGUUGCUUUUGCUUGUCCACAGUGCGUUGCAAGUACGUAUGUGCUUGUGCGUGCAUUUUACUUUGAGAAACAUAGGGUGUUCCACGCAUGUUACGGCAUGAAUAUUCCAGCAUGGGAUAAUCUGGUACGACUUCCAAUCUGCCAUUUUGGUUCGUAGGUUGGAAGUAAUGAUUAAUAGGGACUGUCGGGGGCAUUGGUAUUUGACUGUCAGAGGUGAAAUUCUUAGAGUCGUUGAGGACCAACCACUGCGAAAGCAUUUGUCAAGGAUGUCUCCAUUAA
rnacentral:rRNA from 1 species